AACGCUGGCGGCAGGCUUAACACAUGCAAGUCGAGCGGUAGCACAGGGGAGCUUGCUCCCUGGGUGACGAGCGGCGGACGGGUGAGUAAUGUCUGGGAAACUGCCUGAUGGAGGGGGAUAACUACUGGAAACGGUAGCUAAUACCGCAUAACGUCGCAAGACCAAAGAGGGGGACCUUCGGGCCUCUUGCCAUCAGAUGUGCCCAGAUGGGAUUAGCUAGUAGGUGGGGUAAUGGCUCACCUAGGCGACGAUCCCUAGCUGGUCUGAGAGGAUGACCAGCCACACUGGAACUGAGACACGGUCCAGACUCCUACGGGAGGCAGCAGUGGGGAAUAUUGCACAAUGGGCGCAAGCCUGAUGCAGCCAUGCCGCGUGUGUGAAGAAGGCCUUCGGGUUGUAAAGCACUUUCAGCGAGGAGGAAGGUGGUGAGCUUAAUACGCUCAUC
rnacentral:rRNA from 1 species